GGUUGUCGUCAGCUCGUGUCGUGAGAUGUUGGGUUAAGUCCCGCGACGAGCGCAACCCUCGACCUUAGUUGCCAGCAUUCAGUUGGGCACUCUAAGGUGACUGCCGGCUAAAAGUCGGAGGAAGGUGGGGAUGACGUCAAAUCAUCAUGCCCCUUAUGACCUGGGCUACACACGUGCUACAAUGGGCGGUACAAAGGGUCGCGAACCCGCGAGGGGGAGCCAAUCCCAAAAAAGCCGCUCUCAGUUCGGAUUGCAGGCUGCAACUCGCCUGCAUGAAGCCGGAAUCGCUAGUAAUCGCGGAUCAGCAUGCCGCGGUGAAUACGUUCCCGGGCCUU
rnacentral:rRNA from 1 species